rnacentral:rRNA from 1 species
UGGGGAAUCUUGCACAAUGGGCGAAAGCCUGAUGCAGCAACGCCGCGUGGGGGAUGAAGCUUCUCGGAGUGUAAACCCCUUUCGACCCGGAAGAAAGCCCCGCAAAGGGACUGACGGUACGGGUAUAAGAAGCCCCGGCUAACUACGUGCCAGCAGCCGCGGUAAGACGUAGGGGGCCAGCGUUGCUCGGAAUUACUGGGCGUAAAGGGUCCGUAGGCGGUGUGGCAAGUCGGGAGUGAAAUCUCUGGGCUUAACCCAGAGGCUGCUUCCGAAACUGCCGUGCUAGAGUGUGAGAGAGGCGAGUGGAAUUGCGGGUGUAGCGGUGAAAUGCGUAGAUAUCCGCAGGAACAUCCGAGGCGAAAGCGGCUCGCUGGAUCACAACUGACGCUGAGGGACGAAAGCUAGGGGAGCAAACAGGAUUAGAUACCCCUGUAGUCC